CUCUCUCUCUCUCUCUCUCUCUCUCUCUCUGUCUCUCUUGCAGCCAUAUGUCGAAUUAUUAGUCAAAUUGUUACGGGAGAACGUUCGGAUUGUGAAUGUAUUUCCUAUACAUUUCUUAUGUCUGUAACAAUACAUUGUGAAGGCGUGGAGGAGGGACAAUGUACGCAUUCUCUUUACAUGAUGAUUGACAUGUAAGCUAUCCGGUGUCUCUUGGCACGAGUCACAUGGACACGUGGCUGUCAAGCCACAUUGUAAUCAACGACCUCGUGGGUUGAAAAACUCGGUUGUGAAGGUCGAUAGCGUGCACGGGGGCCUCGUAUGGGGAACCCGGGGCCGUUCAGGCUACCGAGACGCCGGUGACGCAAUAUGAAAAAAUGUAGAAAGGUCAAGAAAAUGCGAGAAUGUUGACCGAGCGUCUUUCUCCAUGCUUACUCAUAGAUUGCAUUGUGCGUGUGUGGGUCAAGAGAAGGGAGAAAACGUAGGAAAACGGACGUGUCCGUGCGUGAGGCGUUUUUGUUUUUUCGGGCAGAACCUUUAGGACCGUCGUACAGUAAAGGGAUAGAGGAUGAUGAGAGAAAUAAUUAAUAUAUCGAGCUGAUGUUAUAGGUUUUUAGAAACACUCGAAAAAAAUAUUAUUAGGUGUCAUUAAGGUGAGGUCUACAUAAUUAAUGUUGUUUUUGCCCAUUUCUAAUGUUAUUAAUUUUAUUCGGCUGUGUAACAAAUUAAACACAUCACAGGAAUUUUCUAUUUUUUAUUUUUUUACACAGUUUCAUGCAGAUAUAUAAAAUAUAUUACUUUGCAUCUCUCUACUUUUCUGGGACUUUAAUAGAUUAUAUUAUUUACACCUAAUAUAAAUGUAGAUUAUUUUAUAUUUUACUCUUUAAUACUGAUGUUAUCUUGUAUUACUGUAUUAUAAAUAGAAAUAUAUAAAUAAAACACUCGAUUAUAUAUCUUACAAAA